CACGAGCACUUCACCAUUGGUCGGUGGAUCUAUGAGCAGAGGUGAGAGUUUAUGUAUUCUUUGGACCUCUCCAUCUAUCCCAACCUCAUCCAAGAGUUCUUUGGAAACAUCUAGCUAAGUACUAAAAGCAAUGAGUCCACAGUUGAGGGAGUCUUAGUCGUGCUCAACGAGCAGAGACUAGUCUGGAAAGUUCAAAUGCCUCGAUCUGGCAUGUGUAUUGAGGACCAAAGGAUGGGCUUAUAGUGCAUUUUAGAGGAGGUGGAUAUUAGCAAGCUUGAGGAGGUGUAGGCCAACUAGCUGCCCAUAGAGACUCAACUACUACAUCAUAUAUUGUGAGUUGGAUUUUCUUCCCUAGGAUGAAAAGAUUCGACUUCAUCUCAGAGCAGGACAUCCUCAUGAUAUUCCACAUUAUUCGAGGCAUUCCUCUAAACCUACCCCCUCUGAUAAUGCAAUAGAUUUGGGAGACAGCGAAUUAGUUGAAGGCUUGUUUUCCUUAUAGCAUGGUUUUUACCCUGAUCUUUUGAGAGUUUGGAGUGUAGCGUGGGGGGGGGGGGGCGCAAACAUUAAGAGUCCCUAGUCACUCAAAUAUCUACAAUGAUCGGUCACUCUAUCGAAUGGGGUACCAAAGUUAGGAGGGAGAUGGGUGUGGAGAGGCUUAGGGCAGAAGUGGCAGGGCGAGGAUGCAAGGUAGGACCGAGUGCACCUCAACCCGAUAUAGAGCUUGGGACACCUCCACUAGCAGCAACAGCACCACUUACCACACCACCAAUAGUAGCACCCUUUACAAUAGUAGCAAUAGCAGCACUCAAUAGCCACAGAUCACCUCAAUACAUCUAAACAAGGAUCAGCUCUAG
rnacentral:lncRNA from 1 species